ACGAAGAGGCCUGGAGAAGUCAGACGUGACGAGUCCAGGUGAACGCGGCGGCAAGUCGAUAACAGCUCUGUAGGUGCUGUUGGAUUAAAAAUGAAGGAGGCCUGGGGGUCCAGGCACAGCUGUCAGAACAUUGCUCAGGUUUUGCAUCAGGAUUGUCAGCCUCUGACGUUCGCUGUUUCUCAGAACACUGGCAGAUACUGACCAUCAGUUGGUCAUCGUUUGACGUCCUGGUCCUGGCAUCAGAUGACCACAAGGGGCCGCCACCAACACAGGACAGGAUGACUGGGCUCCUUCCUUCAUGAAGUGUGACACCCAUCACAUCAUUUCACAAUGAAUGUGGGAGCAGAUUUCACCU
rnacentral:lncRNA from 1 species